rnacentral:snoRNA from 1 species
GCAUUAGUUUGGAUUUAUGGCAGGCCGGUUUCCCUGGGCCUCUCACAGUGUCCUGUGCUAGAGCAGCCCUUGGCCUGGAACCAUUGCCUGGCCUGUGUCUGUAGGCUGCUAGCACUGAAGUGGGUCAUACAAUA